GCUUAACGCGAAGAACCUUACCCAGGCUUGACAUCCUUGGAAGGCUUCCGAAAGGAAAUUGUGCCCUCGGGAACCAAGUGACAGGUGAUGCAUGGCCGUCGUCAGCUCGUGUCGUGAGAUGUUUGGUUAAGUCCAUCAACGAGCGCAACCCUUUUAGUUAGUUGUAUUUCUCUAGCUAGACUGCCCUGGUAACAGGGAGGAAGGAGGGGAUGAUGUCAGGUCAGUAUUUCCCUUACGUCUGGGGCUACAAACACGCUACAAUGGCCGGUACAAAGGGCAGCCAAGUCGCGAGACGGAGCAAAUCCCAUCAAAGCCGGUCUCAGUUCGGAUAGCAGGUUGAAACUCGCCUGCUUGAAGCUGGAAUCGCUAGUAACGGUAGGUCAGCACACUACCGUGAAUACGUUCCCGGGUCUUGUACACACCG
rnacentral:rRNA from 1 species